UGUUUGAGUGGGUGUGGCUCUAGUUUAUUGGCUCAGGUCACAGGGGAUACCCAAUCAGCAGAGAUGUGUCUGGUAAUAAAAAGGUAAAAAGGCAGAG